CGUAAAGUAGACAGUGUUGUACGCAGUGUUAUAUCUCAUGAUUAUUGCUGAUAGCUGAUGGUGCAUCGUGGUUAAAAUUGGAGUACAUAAAUCAUAAACGACAUCCAUGGAUGUGACCAAAUAACAAAUAGAAUAAAAUUUUAGGGCUUAUUAUCAUCAUCAGUGUCAGUGUCAAAACUAUCAUUUAAGAAAAUGAUGAGAUGGAAAAGUGUGAUCGUGUUAAUAUUGGUCAUAUUCGUAAUGUUGUGUCUAGCACAAGAGGUCCCUCGCGAAAUAACUAAACCAUUUCAAAAGUCUCCAUGGCAAAAGUUCAAGGACGGAGUAGGAAGUAUAGGAAGUAGCAUAAAACAUUUUUUUAUUGACAUUGGAGAUGGCAUCGGGAACUUCUUUAAAAAAGGCUGGCGAAAAUUAACAGGUUAAGAAGACUGAUACACAGAAAUGAGAGCACGCAUAUAAACUGCGGAAACCAAAGAAGAGGACUCAUGGAGUUUCUUGAUUAUGUCUAUUUCGUAUACCACAGAGUAGCCCAAGUAUCAGUGCGACCGACGACCACGGACAAACAAACAUCUGCUAACGAGAUUGCACUGCAAGUACAAGUUUAUUGCAGUUGAUUGAAUGACACUAGAACUAAUCUAGUAGAUUGAUUGAUUGACAGGAAAAGCAUAAUUGAAACGCUAAGUCCAAAACUUAUAGAAAACAAUUUUAUAAGUGAAAAGUGAUCAUGUGUACGAACGGACGGCUUUUUAGUAGCGAGUGCUAAGAAAUUAUUCUGUGAAUUAUAAUUAUUUAGGUAUUUUUAAAGGAUAUUUAAGUAAACUUCUUUAACUUUGAGAAGCUGAGUUUGUUUUGGAAUUUAAUCACAACUGAAUAAUUGGGGUUUAGUAUAAACAUUGGUCCUACGUGGGAUUCAUUAGAGGUGUUUAGGUAGGUACACCUAUUGUUCGGUUCAUCGAGUACGACAUGAUUCAUAAUAACAAGAACGUCAGUGCAAUUUAUUUACUUCCUACUAUUCGGACGAGUGGUAAAUAAAAAAAUCACGCUAAAUUUGUCUGCCCGCCUGAUUACACUGACACACGUGCGUGCAAAAGUGAAUUCAGACCUUCCUGUUGAUCCUUUGUGAGCAGUAGGAGUUAGUACGUUGAGCGCUCAGCACAACCAUUGUUGUAUUUGUAGUAAUAGACGACUAUACUAUUACCAAACAUUUAUUGAUAGCCAAUUGGGACAAAACGGAACUUGUAUUGAAGUAACGUUGUAAAUUUUACUAUGGAUUUACGUCUGACUAUUCUCCUAUGUUUUUUUGUAAUCGUAGUUGCGUCGGCUGUUCCCGCGGAUCGUAGGGAAGUGUUUCGCUCGAGGCGGGAUGUGAUGGACACCAUGAGGAACGCGUGGAGCGAGGUCGUGAAGACCCUGUCUGACGCUGGUGACGCGGUCGUGCAUGUAUUCAAGCCGACGGAGAAGAGCGUCAUUGGCAAAUUAACAGACGGGUAUAAGACUUUCACAAAAUAACCAGAUCUUUGCAAUACCUACUAGUGCUUACGUAAGAACAAGUAUUGACACUCUAUUGGUAUAGCGGUACAAGUCAGUUCAUAAUAAUAUUAUUAUUGAUGUAAUUCUAAUUGUUUGAUUAUUUGGAAUUAAAUUACGAAAUAUAUUUACGAAUACAAUAUUCUCUGAUGCCAAUGCAGUGCUACUUACAUGCUACAGCGUGUAAGUCAAGUAAUUAAACAAUUUAUCAGCCCCAAGAAUAAGUACACAUAUGAAAACAUUCAUACUCAUUUCGAAUUUUAUAAUCGUAGGUUUAUUGAAACUUUUAUAAUAUAAGUGCUAAAUAAAAGUAUAAUUUUA